GACGAACGCUGGCGGCGUGGAUUAGGCAUGCAAGUCGAACGGUAUCAUCCUUUCGGGGGUGAGAGAGUGGCGAACUGGUGAGUAACACGUAGGUUAUCUACCCUCAAGACGGGGACAACCCAGGGAAACUUGGGCUAAUACCGGAUGUGAGCAACUUUUAGUUGUUUGAAAGGUGGCGUAAGCUGUCGCUUGGGGAUGAGCCUGCGUCCCUAUUAGUUAGUUGGUGAGGUAACGGCUCACCUAGGCAAUGAUAGGUAGGCGGCCUUAACGGGUGGUCGCCCACACUGGGAUUGAGAUACGGCCCAGACUCCUACGGGAGGCAGCAGUCGAGAAUAGUCUACAAUGGUCGGAAGACUGAUAGUGCGACGCCGCGUGAACGAUGAAUCCCUUCGGGGUGUAAAGUUCUUUUAUAUGUGAGCAGUGCUUCUUAUAUUAACAGUAUGGGGAGAGAGAUAUUAGCAUAUGAAUAAGCAACGGCUAACUCCGUGCCAGCAGCCGCGGUAAACU
rnacentral:rRNA from 1 species